rnacentral:rRNA from 1 species
UACGUAGGCAGCAAGCGUUGUUCGGAGUUACUGGGCGUAAAGGGUGUGUAGGCGGUUCUUUAAGUUUGGGGUGAAAUCUCCCGGCUCAACUGGGAGGGUGCGCCGAAUACUGAGGGACUAGAGUACGGGAGAGGAAAGUGGAAUUCCUGGUGUAGCGGUGAAAUGCGUAGAUAUCAGGAGGAACACCGGUGGUGUAGACGGCUUUCUGGACCGACACUGACGCUGAAACACGAAAGCGUGGGUAGCAAACAGG